rnacentral:rRNA from 1 species
CCUACGGGAGGCAGCAGUGAGGAAUAUUGGUCAAUGGCAGGAAUGCUGAACCAGCCAAGCCGCGUGAGGGAAGACGGCCCUAUGGGUUGUAAACCUCUUUUGUAGGGGAAGAAAACAUGCUACGUGUCGCAGAAUGCGUGUACCUUAUGAAUAAGCAUCGGCUAACUCCGUGCCAGCAGCCGCGGUAAUACGGAGGAUGCGAGCGUUAUCCGGAAUGAUUGGGCGAAAGGGGUGCGUAGGCGGCCCGCUAAGUCAGCAGUAAAAGGGCGGGGCUCAACCGGGACAGGCUCUUGAAACUGGCGGGCUAGAGUGCAGGAGAGGUAGGUGGAAUUCCAGGUGUAGCGGUAAAAUGCGUAGAUAUAUGGAAGAACACCAGUGGCGAAGGCGGCGGACUGGCCUGUUACUGACGCUGAGGCACGAAAGCGUGGGGAGCAAAUAGGAUUAGAUACCCGGGUAGUC